rnacentral:rRNA from 1 species
UAAAUACUCUCUAGUGACCGAUAGUGAACCAGUACCGUGAGGGAAAGGUGAAAAGCACCCCGGAAGGGGAGUGAAAUAGAACCUGAAACCGUGUGCUUACAAGUAGUCAGAGCCCGUUAAUGGGUGAUGGCGUGCCUUUUGUAGAAUGAACCGGCGAGUUACGAUUUGAUGCAAGGUUAAGCAGUAAAUGUGGAGCCGUAGCGAAAGCGAGUCUGAAUAGGGCGUUUAGUAUUUGGUCGUAGACCCGAAACCAGGUGAUCUACCCUUGGUCAGGUUGAAGUUCAGGUAACACUGAAUGGAGGACCGAACCGACUUACGUUGAAAAGUGAGCGGAUGA